AUACAAAUAAUGGUAUGCAAAGAAAGCCCUUCUUGUCCUGAAAAAAACAAUGUAAUAAAAUAACUUGUAUGGGAACAGUAAAUGAGAGAGAGGAAAAUUACAGCUAAACACAAACACCACAAAAGUGUUAAAACUCUGGUCCUUAACGUACAACAUAACCAAAACAGUCCCGAAGGGGUUAAAAUCUCCCAUUGAUAACAAAUAACCCAGCUGUGCAGCCUUGUUAAUCUGUUUUUUUAAAUCCUUCCUAAAUAAUGGAUCCAUCUAAAUUAACAGCCCAGUCAUGUGUCUAAUCCGAUCAUGUUUCUAUUAUGCCUAUUAUGUCAUAUUUCUUAGUGUAUUGCCUUUAUUUCCCCCAUUUUGUUAUUUAGGCUCCUUUUUUAAUUUGUUUAGUUGUUUCCUUCUCAGAUCUCCAUAUUUGCCCAGUUUAGUAAGUAGACCCCUGUUGAUUUGUUUUUAAACUUAAUUUUGUGUAUGCAUUUUUUAAUUUUAUUUUUAAUAAAUUAGAAAUUGUGCAAAAUUGACUGAUAAAUUCUUAAUUUUACCAAAGCUGGAAAAAUACAUGAGAUGAAGAUUUUUUUUUUUUAAUUUGACAAUUCUUCUCUCAAUCUUGCAGUUCCUUUGUUUAUGAGGCAUAGUUAAAUUUUUUAUUUUUUUUUGCAUCUUUCGGGCUAGAAUAAUACUGUGUUGGCAUUCAAAAAUGAUUGAAUUUUUUGUAUGGUUUGUUUUCAGUACAUCAUUGGUUUCUGUAGUCCCUAAUUCCAUGUUUGGACCAAGUUCCAGCUAUUCUACGCUUGGACAGUUGGCAUCUCAAGGAGGUUGGUCCUGCAAAAUAUUAUUUAGAUUAUUUAUUUCUGGGCUGUAAAAGAACUGUCUCUUAAUCUCGGUAUUUCCAACCUAUCAACUUCCUUUCACAUAAAUCUACAGUAACUCCCUUAAUCAUUUUCUCUCAGUAGGUAUUGUUCUGCGUCCCGAGUUGGAGUUCUGUCGCAAGGUGUUGAAGUUUAUUUGUCUGGAAUUAGCCACUGACACUUCUGACCAGUUGGUUCCAGUAUAUAUCAACUCCUCUGAGAACGCUCCUACAUAUGCCCACUCCGAAACAGCUGCUGAACAUGAAAUUGUUGACAGCAUCUAGAUAAUAUCUAAUUACAUUAAUUAUGCCAUUUAGAAUCCUCAAACAUAAAGUAUCAUAAUUAUAACAGUUCAGGCAGUUCAUCAUUCAAUGUUAUGACUUCCAGAUUAACAUCAUUGUUGAUAGCGCAUUUUGUAGUUUUGAAUUUUUUUAUAUUUAAUAAUUAGACCUCCCUGUCCACCCUUAUGCUCAGAGUUGG